rnacentral:rRNA from 1 species
CCCUUGUAUUUUUUUUUAUUGGAUAAAUUUUUUGAUUUUGUAGUUUAAAAUUAAAAAUUUUGGCAGUUGGUUAUAGAUUAAAGGAGCUUGUUGUGAAAUUAAGAAUUUACACUUUAGAUUUUAAUAAUUGAAAUUUUGUUUAUUCAUUUCUGUUAUUAAAAAUAGUUUUUAAUAGAGUUUAUUUAAAAUUUCAGGUCAAGAUGUAGCAUUAAUUAUUAAUAGAUUAGCUACAAUUAGAUAUUAUUGGUUAAGGGUUGGUAAAAAUUUUUAUAAAUUGAAUUUAGUUGUAAUAAGUGUAUUUAUAAUAUUAAUAUGAUUAAUGGUAAUCAAUGU